rnacentral:snoRNA from 1 species
ACUAUCUGAUACAGAUAUCACCGUAAAGAUCCUUGCUAGUCUCGACUUAGAAUACAACCCUGUCGUUUCAGCGCUUGUGGCUCGGGUUGAACCAGUGUCUAUUCAAGAAUUGUACAGUCAGCUCCUGAGCUUCGAUG